GGAUCCAGACUUUGAUUCUGGCUCAGGAUGAACGCUAGCUACAGGCUUAACACAUGCAAGUCGAGGGGAAACGAUAGAGAAAGCCUGCUUUUUCUAGGCGUCGACCGGCGCACGGGUGAGUAACGCGUAUCCAACCUGCCCAUCACUUGGGAAUAACCUUGCGAAAGUAAGACUAAUACCCAAUGAUAUCUCAAGAAGACACCUGAAUGAGAUUAAAGAUUUAUCGGUGAUGGAUGGGGAUGCGUCUGAUUAGCUUGUUGGCGGGGUAACGGCCCACCAAGGCGACGAUCAGUAGGGGUUCUGAGAGGAAGGUCCCCCACAUUGGAACUGAGACACGGUCCAAACUCCUACGGGAGGCAGCAGUGAGGAAUAUUGGUCAAUGGGCGAGAGCCUGAACCAGCCAAGUAGCGUGCAGGAAGACGGCCCUAUGGGUUGUAAACUGCUUUUAUAAGGGAAUAAAGUGAGUCUCGUGAGACUUUUUGCAUGUACCUUAUGAAUAAGGACCGGCUAAUUCCGUGCCAGCAGCCGCGGUAAUACGGAAGGUCCGGGCGUUAUCCGGAUUUAUUGGGUUUAAAGGGAGCGUAGGCCGGAGAUUAAGCGUGUUGUGAAAUGUAGACGCUCAACGUCUGCACUGCAGCGCGAACUGGUUUCCUUGAGUACGCACAAAGUGGGCGGAAUUCGUGGUGUAGCGGUGAAAUGCUUAGAUAUCACGAAGAACUCCGAUUGCGAAGGCAGCUCACUGGAGCGCAACUGACGCUGAAGCUCGAAAGUGCGGGUAUCGAACAGGAUUAGAUACCCUGGUAGUCCGCACGGUAAACGAUGGAUGCCCGCUGUUGGUCUGAAUAGGUCAGCGGCCAAGCGAAAGCAUUAAGCAUCCCACCUGGGGAGUACGCCGGCAACGGUGCAAC
rnacentral:rRNA from 1 species